rnacentral:rRNA from 1 species
GCAGGCUGUAACUCGCCUGCAUGAAGUCGGAAUUGCUAGUAAUCGCGGAUCAGCAUGCCGCGGUGAAUACGUUCUCGGGCCUUGUACACACCGCCCGUCACACCAUGGGAGUCGGUAACACCCGAAGUCUGUAGCCUGACGCAAGAGGGCGCAGCCGAAGGUGGGAUUGAUGACUGGGGUGAAGUCGUAACAAGGUAUC